UAUCAUGGCUCAGGAUGAACGCUAGCUACAGGCUUAACACAUGCAAGUCGAGGGGCAGCAUGGUCUUAGCUUGCUAAGGCCGAUGGCGACCGGCGCACGGGUGAGUAACGCGUAUCCAACCUGCCUUACACUCUUGGACAGCCUUCUGAAAGGGAGAUUAAUACAAGAUGUUAUCAUGAGUAAGCAUUUUCGCAUGAUUAAAGGUUUACCGGUGUAAGAUGGGGAUGCGUUCCAUUAG
rnacentral:rRNA from 1 species